GAUGAACGCUAGCUACAGGCUUAACACAUGCGAGUCGAGGGGAAACGGCAUUAAGUGCUUGCACUUUUUGGACGUCGACCGGCGCACGGGUGAGUAACGCGUAUCCAACCUUCCCAUGACUAAGGGAUAACCUGCCGAAAGGCAGACUAAUACCUUAUGGUCUUCACUGACGGCAUCAGAUGUGAAGUAAAGAUUUAUCGGUUAUGGAUGGGGAUGCGUCUGAUUAGCUUGUUGGCGGGGUAACGGCCCACCAAGGCAACGAUCAGUAGGGGUUCUGAGAGGAAGGUCCCCCACAUUGGAACUGAGACACGGUCCAAACUCCUACGGGAGGCAGCAGUGAGGAAUAUUGGUCAAUGGGCGAGAGCCUGAACCAGCCAAGUAGCGUGCAGGAUGACGGCCCUAUGGGUUGUAAACUGCUUUUGUAUGGGGAUAAAGUCAAUCACGUGUGAUUGUUUGCAGGUACCAUACGAAUAAGGACCGGCUAAUUCCGUG
rnacentral:rRNA from 1 species